UACGAAGGGGGCUAGCGUUGCUCGGAAUCACUGGGCGUUAAAGGGUGCGUAGGCGGGUUUUUAAGUCAGGGGUGAAAUCCUGGAGCUCAACUCCAGAACUGCCUUUGAUACUGGCGAUCUUGAGUCCGGGAGAGGUGAGUGGAACUGCGAGUGUAGAGGUGAAAUUCGUAGAUAUUCGCAAGAACACCAGUGGCGAAGGCGGCUCACUGGCCCGGUACUGACGCUGAGGUGCGAAAGCGUGGGGAGCAAACAGG
rnacentral:rRNA from 1 species